AGAGUUUGAUCCUGGCUCAGAACGAACGCUGGCGGCGUGGCUAAGGCAUGCAAGUCGAACGAGAAAGCGUCCUUCGGGACGCCGGUAAAGUGGCGGAAGGGUGAGUAAUGCAUAGACAACCUACCCUCGAGAGGGGAAUACCCCAGCGAAAGCUGGACUAAUACCGCGUACGAUCCUGAUUUUAAAAGGUUGGGAUGAAAGAUGGGGAUCCUUCGGGACCUAUCGCUCGAGGUUGGGUCUAUGUCCUAUCAGCUUGUUGGUGAGGUAACGGCUCACCAAGGCGACGACGGGUACGGGGCCUGAGAGGGUGUUCCCGCACACUGGGACUGAGACACUGCCCAGACUCCUACGGGAGGCUGCAGUCGAGAAUCCUCGACAAUGGGCGCAAGCCUGAUCGGGCGACGCCGCGUGCAGGAUGAAGGCCCUCGGGUUGUAAACUGCCGUCACGGUGCAGGAAGGCCCCCACGACAACAUCAAGGGGGAUUGACCACACCGGGAGGAAGUCACGGCUAACUCUGUGCCAGCAGCCGCGGUAAGACAGAGGUGGCAAGCGUUGUUCGGAUUUACUGGGCAUAAAGGGCGCGUAGGUGGUUAGGUAGGUCAGUGGUGAAAGCCCUCGACCCAAUCGAGGAAUUGCCUCUGAAACCAUCUGACUAGAGUGCAAAAGGGGAGAGUGGAACUCGAGGUGGAGCGGUGAUAUGCGUAGAUAUCUCGGGGAACGCCGGUGGCGAAAGCGACUCUCUGGUUUGCUACUGACACUGAGGCGCGAAAGCCAGGGGAGCAAACGGGAUUAGAUACCCCGGUAGUCCUGGCCGUAAACGAUGAGCACUUGGUAGUGGGGGCUCCAAGGCCUUCUCUGCUGUAGCUAAUGUGUUAAGUGCUCCGCCUGGGGAGUACGGUCGCAAGGCUGAAACUCAAA
rnacentral:rRNA from 1 species